rnacentral:misc_RNA from 1 species
UCUCCGUAGGUGAACCUGCGGAGGGAUCAUUAACGAGUUAGGGCCUCUGGCCCGACCUCCAACCCUUUGUCUCCAAAACCUCGUUGCCUCGGGGGUGGCCCUGCCUCACAGCGGGUCCCCCGGAGGACCACUAUAACUCUGCAUCUGAAUGUCGUCUGAGUAAGAUUUUUAAUGAAAUCAAAACUUUCAACAACGGAUCUCUUGGUUCUG